GGUACCUUAGCUCAGUUGGUAGAGCGCCUGCUUUGCAAGCAGGAUGUCAGGAGUUCGAAUCUCCUAGGCUCCACCA
rnacentral:tRNA from 1 species